rnacentral:rRNA from 1 species
UACGUAGGGUGCAAGCGUUAAUCGGAAUACUGGGCGUAAAGCGUGCGCAGGCGGUUUUGUAAGUCUGUCGUGAAAGCCCCGGGCUCAACCUGGGAAUUGCGAUGGAGACUGCAAGGCUAGAAUCUGGCAGAGGGGGGUAGAAUUCCACGUGUAGCAGUGAAAUGCGUAGAGAUGUGGAGGAACACCGAUGGCGAAGGCAGCCCCCUGGGUCAAGAUUGACGCUCAUGCACGAAAGCGUGGGGAGCAAACAGGAU